rnacentral:misc_RNA from 1 species
AAGUCGUAACAAGGUUUCCGUAGGUGAACCUGCGGAAGGAUCAUUAAAAGAAUUUCGUGUGUGCCUUGUGCAUAUCGCAAUUCAAACCCCAUUCUGUGAACCAUGCCUGUUGCUUCCGUGGGGCGCGCCCACGUUUGUGGGCGCGCUGCGAUGGUCAGCCACUUGACCAUUGGCAGAGAGUAUCCACGGGAGGUUUUUGGAAUAAACCAUUUGCAAUGAUUGGUGUCUGUCUGAAAGAGCGAUAUAAUUGUUAAAACUUUCAACAACGGAUCUCUUGGUUCUCA